UACGGAAGGCAGCAGUGGGGAAUAUUGCACAAUGGGCGAAAGCCUGAUGCAGCUAUGCCGCGUGUAUGAAGAAGGCCUUAGGGUUGUAAAGUACUUUCAUCGGGGAGGAAAAAAACAAAACUAAUAAUUUUAUUUCUUGACGUUACCCGAAAAAGAAGCACCGGCUAACUCCGUGCCAGCAGCCGCGGUAAUACGGAGGGUGCUAGCGUUAAUCAGAAUUACUGGGCGUAAAGAGCACGUAGGUGGUUUUUUUAAGUCAGAUGUGAAAUCCCUGGGCUUAACCUGGAACUGCAUUUUGAAACUGAAAUACUAGAGUAUCGUAGAGGGAGGUAGAAUUCUAGGUGUAGCGGUGAAAUGCGUAGAUAUCUGGAGGAAUACCUGUGGCGAAAGCGGCCUCCUAAACGAAUACUGACACUGAGGUGCGAAAAGCGUGGGGGA
rnacentral:rRNA from 1 species